AUCGCAGUCUGCAACUCGACUGCGUGAAGUCGGAAUCGCUAGUAAUCGUGAAUCAGAAUGUCACGGUGAAUACGUUCCCGGGCCUUGUACACACCGCCCGUCACACCAUGGGAGUGGGUUGCACCAGAAGUAGCUAGUCUAACCUUCGGGAGGACGGUUACCACGGUGUGAUUCAUGACUGGGGUGAAGUCGUAACAAGGUAGCCGUAGGGGAACCUGCGGCUGGAUCACCUCCUUAAUCGACGACA
rnacentral:rRNA from 1 species